AUCUACUAUUUCUUCGUCCAUUGGUUUUGUUU
rnacentral:antisense_RNA from 1 species